UAAAUGCGCAUCAACAUCUGAGAAAUUCCGUCUGUUGAUUGGACUGUUGUGUGAAGUGGAUCUGUCAAUAACCAACAUUGAGGAGCACUAUGAACAGCUGUUGGUGAAGAAUCGCAUCUUUCAUCUGCUGAGGAUGUUUCCUAAUGUUGCUCAUCCGUUGCUUGAUGUCAUCGCCAGGGCAACCAACAGAUGCUGUCCACUCGCUUCUCUUCCUGUCACCAUCGGAAGAAUUGAAAAAGAGAGGUUCCACCAUCACUCCUUCAGUCCUCACUGACUGUAGGUGUCGUCAGUUCUUCAGGAGCUAUGGAGUCUCCUACGGACAUCCAUAAAUGCAUCUUGCUGCAGCAGCAGCAUUGCUACGCCUGCAGCUGGAGUUGCUACAGGCUCAGCGACUACAACAAGCGUUGCCUCUGAAAUCUGACUUUCAGACAGCAGAAAACAAGCAACGCAGCUGUGUGUACCAUCCCAAACCCACCCAUGGCUAUAAUGGAGCAACCCGUGCCAGCAAGCUCCACUGUGAUUGGUCCAUUGAAAUCAUCAGCUCAGCCAAUGAGGAUGACCAGAAGUUGCAGUCAGCUUUCCCAGCAGCCAAUCAGGGGAGCUGUUGGAAACAGACACAGCGGCAGUGACAUUCAGACUUUGGAUCUCAGAUCGCCGGAAAGACGGCUGGCUUCAGAAAAUGUUUCAAGUAAAAACGUCACCGCGACAUUGAUAGAAAUUGUGAAAAUGUUCCCGAGAAGGGUCUGUACCCCUUGACUUGUCCUGCACUCUUACGCCCACCAACAACACAGGGAGCAUGAUUGCCACCAAUGCCGCUUUCGAACCGAUGACUGGGUUGUAGCAACAGAAACCAGACGAUGAACAUGUCAACAUGAUAAACCAAUCCCAAUGUCAAAGAUUUGAAUUUAGUCAGAUCCCAGAGGUAAGGUCCCCCAUGUUGAGCCCUUUUCACACUAGACAAUCUUGGGGUUGACACAGGUUUGAAAACAUCAAAUGUUGGAGGACAUCAAAAUCUUUCAUUGGAGUUGUAUGUCAGUUGGAUGGCAUGUAGUUAAGUGUGAUUUUUGGUCCACAAAAAAAAUCUGCUUUUUGGAGGGCUAAAAUCAUGGAUUUUGGUGAACAUGUAGCCCCUUGUUUUAACACGCAAAACGUAACUGUUAUUGUUUUUUUUUGUUCAGAGGGAGAGGUUGAAAUUCCAUGCUAAAUAAGUGUUUUGAUUGAAUGCAAUGUAUUACAAUGUCCUUUUUAUGUAACGAAAGUUACAUAGGCCUACAAAUAUAAAACCAUUGCCAACCCGCCCGGAAAAGCUUUCCAAUUCGUUUUCAUUUAUUCAAACAGACUGUGUUACAGUGUUGACAUAACACAAAAGUCUGACUGUUGAAACCAAUAUAUCAAGUUGUGAGACGCAUCUGUACGUCUCAAAGCAAUUAAAGUUACCGUGGAAUUGCCCCUGUAUUUAAUGUCAGAUUUCACUUGAAAUUUGGGCGAGCAGGUGUAUGUCACAAUUGUAAUUGUUGCAGAAUAGAAAUAUUGAAAAGAAAUCUAGACUGAAUUGUGUGUCCAUAAAUUGCUGAUUUCAUAAACAGAACACCGUAUAUUAAAAUAAUAUUCACUUUGCUACCCCAUUUUCAGUAAUCAAGUACCUGUAGUUAUAGAAAUAAGUGCAAAAGUAAUAUUUUUCAAACAAAAUUUCAAUGUUCUAAAUUGCAAGAUAGUUUCGUAUACAUUUGUAUUUGCCCAAGGUAAACUUCAAAAUUACAGUGUAUUUCUGAAAUCCCUGUACUUGUAUAUACAUUGUAUGUACACAACAGCUGAUGUGAAUUUAUGUGAUUGUUUUACCUAUCUUUUUUCAAACGAAAAGAAUCAGAUUUGAUCUUUGAUUGAACACGAAUGUAUACUGUUUUACAGUCAGUUGUAACGAAUAGCUUUUGUUCAUCCGUGGAUGUGAUGUAAAACGUUUCAAUUACACAUGUAUCAGAAUAAAUGUAUCGGCUGGAAUAAAUGCCCAGAGUACUGAGGCAAACGAAUAUGAA
rnacentral:lncRNA from 1 species